CAAAAGUCGAGGAUAGCCCACCGAAAGGUGGAGUAAUCCUGGAUGUGACCUUCGGGUUAAAGACGAAAGUCGCUUUUGGAUGAGCCCGCGUCCUAUCAGGUUGUUGGCAGGGUAAAUGCCUACCAAGCCUAUGACGGGUAGCUGGUCUGAGAGGAUGACCAGCCAGAAUGGGACUGAGACACGGCCCAUACUCCUACGGGAGGCAGCAAUCAGGAAUUUUGCGCAAUGGACGAAAGUCUGACGCAGCGACGCCGCGUGAAGGAUGAAGGCCUUCGGGUUGUAAACUUCUUUUAUGAGGGAACAAGUUCUGAGUGUACCUCAUGAAUAAGGUUCUGCAAACUACGUGCCAGAAGCAUCGGUGAUACGUAGGAACCAAACAUUAUCCGGAUUUACUGGGCGUAAAGAGAUGCGUAGGCGUCUUGGUAAGUUCUAUGUUAAAUCUUCGGGCUUAACCCGGAAACCGCAUGGAAAACUACCUUGAUUGAGUCAGCUAGAGGAAGACGGAAUUCCCGGUGUAGCAGUGAAAUGCGUUGAUAUCGGGAAGAACACCAAUGGCGAAGGCAGUCUUCUGGGGCUUGACUGACGCUAAGGCUCGAAAGCGUGGGGAGCAAAACGGAUUAGAUACCCGUGUAGUCCACGCCCUAAACUAUCUCCGCUAAUUGUCGGGACUGGCUUAGUUUUUUCUUCGGAAAGGAUUGAGCAGUUUCGGUGAUGUAGUUAACGCGUUAAGCGGAGCGCCUGGG
rnacentral:rRNA from 1 species